rnacentral:lncRNA from 1 species
AUUUAGAGAAGUUUCAUAACUUUUUUAUAUGUACAUCACCUUUAUUGUAUCACGCACGCAACCUUUCCUCAGAAAAGAAACGGAGAGGAAAGGCCCGAAAUCAAUAGUACUCAUUCCAUCUCAACCAAUCAUUGUUCAGAACACUGAUUAUGAGAAAAGAAUCAAACACAACGACAGCUGACAACUAUUAGAAUCUAUAUUUUUGUGUGUUAGUGAAGUAACGACUAACAUACAAUGCAUUGUACAUGUUGUGUACAUAAUAUCUACUCGCGAAUAUUUAAAAUGGAACAUUUUUGCAGGUGCAUCGCAAAUUCCAUGACUCACUUCAAGCUAUCUUUCUUCAUUUGCAAGUCCUGUGAAUUGAUAAGUAUUACAAUAUACAUAGAGUGGAGAUCCAAAACUUGCAAUAGCAUUUAAUUAGGAUUUUAUAGUCGUUAUUUAUAAGUACAAGGUUUUCUUACGCAGCCAAACGAGAGUUGAAACAAAGAUAUACAAGUUUUGUUUUUAUCCAAUGUCUCUAAGGGUGUAAAAAUGUAGGAACUACAUACAACAAUAAAAAGCAACGCGUCGUCAC